GACGAACGCUGGCGGCGUGCUAAACACAUGCAAGUCGAACGAUGAAACCUAGCUUGCUAGGUCGAUUAGUGGCGAACGGGUGAGUAACACGUGACUAACCUGCCCCUUUCUCUGGGAUAACGCUCCGAAAGGAGUGCUAAUACCGGAUACUCACAUCGAGGCACAUGCCUUGGUGUGGAAAGUUUUUCGGAAAGGGAUGGAGUCGCGGCCUAUCAGCUUGUUGGUGAGGUAACGGCUCACCAAGGCGACGACGGGUAGCCGGCCUGAGAGGGCGACCGGCCACACUGGGAAUGAGACACGGCCCAGACUCCUACGGGAGGCAGCAGUGGGGAAUAUUGCACAAUGGGCGCAAGCCUGAUGCAGCGACGCCGCGUGAGGGAUGAAGGUCUUCGGAUUGUAAACCUCUUUCAGUAGGGACGAAGCGAAAGUGACGGUACCUAAAGAAGAAGCACCGGCUAACUACGUGCCAGCCGCCGCGGUAA
rnacentral:rRNA from 1 species